GGCGAGUGAAGCGGCAACAGCUCAAAUUUGAAAUCUGGCCCUUUCAGGGCCCGAGUUGUAAUUUGUAGAGGGCGCUUUGGCGUCGGCUCCUGCCUAAGUUCCUUGGAACAGGACGUCAUAGAGGGUGAGAACCCCGUACGUGGCAGGCUGCCUUCGCCGUGUAAAGCCCCUUCGACGAGUCGAGUUGUUUGGGAAUGCAGCUCUAAAUGGGAGGUAAAUUCCUUCUAAAGCUAAAUACUGGCCAGAGACCGAUAGCGCACAAGUAGAGUGAUCGAAAGAUGAAAAGCACUUUGGAAAGAGAGUCAAAAAGCACGUGAAAUUGUUGAAAGGGAAGCGCUUGCAGCCAGACUUGCCUGCAGUUGUUCAUCCGGGCUCCCGCCCGGUGCACUCUUCUGCGGGCAGGCCAGCAUCAGUUUGGGCGGCCGGAUAAAGGUCUCAGGAACGUAGCUCUCUCCGGGGAGUGUUAUAGCCUGGGACGCAAUGCGGCCAGCCCGGACUGAGGUCCGCGCAUCUGCUAGGAUGCUGGCGUAAUGGCUGUAAGCGGCCCGUCUUGAAACACGGACCAAGGAGUCUAACAUCUAUGCGAGUGUUUGGGUGUAAAGCCCGGGCGCGUAAUGAAAGUGAACGGAGGUGGGAACCCCCCCGGGGUGCACCAUCGACCGAUCCUGAUGUCUUCGGAUGGAUUUGAGUAAGAGCAUAGCUGUUGGGACCCGAAAGAUGGUGAACUAUGCCUGAAUAGGGUGAAGCCAGAGGAAACUCUGGUGGAGGCUCGCAGCGGUUCUGACGUGCAAAUCGAUCGUCAAAUUUGGGCAUAGGGGCGAAA
rnacentral:rRNA from 1 species